UUUCCUGCAACUACAUCUCCAUGUAAUUUAAACAUACAACAAUAAAAACAUUUCCUUGAUACAAGGGUUGAUGUUGAAAUUACAUGGAGAUGUAGUUGCAGGAAAUAAUAGCCGCCAACACUUAUUUAUACAUACAAAAGCUAACACACAUAAGUUGAUACACACACAUAUAUCAUAAGACCACAAAUACCAUUUUCUUAUUGUUAAUUUCUAGAUCUCAUAGAUCAUGCAAUAGCUGGUUUAACCUGAACAGAUGAGAAACAAAGAACAACAAUUUUCUCAAUAGCAGCUGAAAAUGAAGCAGAAAACUCGACAUGAUUAGGA
rnacentral:misc_RNA from 1 species